rnacentral:rRNA from 1 species
UUGGAACAGGACGUCAUAGAGGGUGAGAAUCCCGUAUGCGACUGGGUGCCUCAUGUGAAGCUCCUUCGACGAGUCGAGUUGUUUGGGAAUGCAGCUCAAAAUGGGUGGUAAAUUUCAUCUAAAGCUAAAUACUGGCCAGAGACCGAUAGCGCACAAGUAGAGUGAUCGAAAGAUGAAAAGCACUUUGGAAAGAGAGUUAAACAGUACGUGAAAUUGUUGAAAGGGAAGCGCUUGCAAUCAGACUUGCAUGUAAUUGAUCAUCCGGGUGCACUCAGUUGUAUUCAGGCCAGCAUUGGUUUUGGUGGUUGGAUAAAGGCCUAGGGAAUGUAGCUUCUUUCGGGGAGUGUUAUAGCCCUGGGUGUCAUACAGCCUACUGGGACCGAGGACCGCGCUUCGGCUAGGAUGCUGGCGUAAUGGUUGCAAGCGACCCGUCUUGAAACACGGACCAAGGAGUCUAACAUCUAUGCGAGUGUUUGGGUGUCAAACCCAUACGCGUAAUGAAAGUGAACGGAGGUGAGAACCCUUGCAUCAUCGACCGAUCCUGAUGUCUUCGGAUGGAUUUGAGUAAGAGCAUAGCUGUUGGGACCCGAAAGAUGGUGAACUAUGCCUGAAUAGGGUGAAGCCAGAGGAAACUCUGGUGGAGGCUCGCAGCGGUUCUGACGUGCAAAUCGAUCGUCAAAUUUGGGUAUAGGGGCGAAAGACUAAUCGAACCAUCUAGUAGCUGGUUCCUGCCGAAGUUUCCCUCAGGAUUGGAAGAAUGUU